rnacentral:lncRNA from 10 species
ACUCUUCGCCCGGUCACUGAUGCAGAGGCUGUCAGGCCUCUCUGCGCACGAAACCCAUCACAGCACCUGGGCCAGCAGCCAGUGCCGGGCUGUCCUCUUCCCACCCCAAGGCGGUCCUCUUGAGUCUUCACACCGCCUCCUUCGGAUCCCUCCCCAUCCUGAGGACUUCAGGUUGCCGGCUCCUCACUUGGGUCCUGCGCACCUCGGGCUUCUCACAGAGUAGCCGUCUCCAUUCUACGGAUAGGGAAACAGAGGACCAGAGCCCCGAAAGUCGUACGCCCCAAAGCCCCUGAGAGUGGUCUCCAAAUGCUAGUGCUGUGGCUCUGGAAAGAUUCAUUUUAUUUCCUGCAACAAAGGCAGCCUCAGAGAACUGGCCUCCGAGCCUUUUCCGUGCAGACCCCCAAUCUUUCAAGACACCACAGACCAAUUCAGUUGGCAAAAGCCCUAAGAACAGUACACCCCAAACCAAUGGAAUAAAAAAGUUUUGUUUAGUUGAGACUGCAGAACUCUUAGCUGGCUUACAGAUUUCUAAGGCAGCAUUUGGCACCUCUGUUUGCUGUUUGGCUCCUCUUUCGGCCUCUAGAGCUGACUGCAGCUCCAAUCUCCUUGUCACAUCCUGGUCUGCAAACUGAGACCUCACAGGGGCCUUUACACCGUAGGGCAACUCCUUAUGCCGUUGUCACACUGAAGCUAGAAUUCUCAAAGCUGGAGCACUUAGGUGUCUGCAUUUUAGAGGUCCCAGCCUGAAUAUAUGCACAAGCAGGGUUUUGUUUCUGAGCUCAGUGAAGAGGACUGCUGUGACUCCAGCUCUUCUGAAAUAUUAGAUGUGUAAAAUGCAAGAUUCUCUUCCAGCCUUGACUGGAGGUGAUGUGGCAAUGUGUGUACGCAAGAAAAGUCCAUGCAGACUUUAUACAGACUUUACUACUACAGACAAGAGAAUCUUUCUGAAAGCUAAGGCCCAGAGAAGAGCAAACUACUGAAAAACUAAGGCCUGCAUCAGAAGGGCUUCUGCUUCCAUUAAUGGACUGAGUAAUUCAGACCAAGCCUCCAUUUGAAGACAACUAAAAAUGCUGGGUAAAAUAUUUUUAAGUAUCUUACUUAAAUAUUCAAAGGUUAGUGAGGAAUUGCUGGGCCAAAAUUUGGGAAAGGAAAGGAACAUGGAGGUGAGCCUGCAACUGGGGUCGCUUCUGUUCUGGGAGCAUUUGCUGAAGAGAGUUUAAGAAUCCAAGCUGCAUUUUUGGCAGCCUUUAAAGGCUUAAAGGGAGUAGAAAUGGUGUCCCAGCCCAGAGAAUCUCAAGUAACCAUUGAACUUGUUCAAAGUGACUCUAAACUGCUAGUGUCAAAAACAAUCAUUCUGGGAAGAAGAUAAUAGCAUCCUAGGCCUCAAAUGCAUCUAGCAAACAAGCAAAAAUAAUCAAGCCCCAGAGAGGCGAGAUUGCCAUAAGAAAAGCAGAAACAGGCCAGGUGCAGUGGCUCAUGCUUGCCAUACCAGCACUUUGGGAGGCUGAGGCUGGGGAAUUACUUGAGCUCAAGAGUUCAAGACCAGCCUGCACAACAUGGUGAAACUCCGUUUCUACAAAAAAUGCAAAAGUCAGUUGGGUGUGGUGGUGCACACCUGUAGUCCCAGCUACUAGGGUGGCUGAAGUGGAUGGACGGCUUGCGCUUGGGAAGCAGAGGUUGCAAAGAGCUGAGAUCAUGCCACUGUACUCCAGCCUGGGCCGUAGAGCCAGACCUUGUCUCAAAAAGAAAAGAAAAGAAAAAAAAACAAAAAUAAAAACAGACAACAGAAUCAGACCCAUGGGGCUUCCAGACUCUGGGGUUAUUGGGCAUAGACUAUAUAACAAUGUAUAUGCUAUCUUCAAAAGGAUAAAAGCUAUGUGUGAAACAUUUGGCAGAGAGCUAGAAAUUAUAGCAAGUGACGUAGCAGAUUUUUUUUGGGGAAAAGGAAAUCUAGAUUGAGACAGUGAUGGGCACUAGAAUUAUAAAGUCAUGGAAACUCAAGUAUGGUGGCUGUGUUGGUCAAUCUGUGAGCUUAGAAAGAAUUAAACGUGAGCGGCUAUGUGACCACAGAGAGAAAUGGAGAGAAUAGCUUCCUAUUUUUCAGUUGAGUUUUUUGCUACUACAA